CCUACGGGCGGCAGCAGUGGGGGAUAUUGCACAAUGGGGGGAACCCUGAUGCAGCGACGCCGCGUGGGUGAAGGAGUAUUUCGGUAUGUAAAGCCCUAUCGGCAGGGAAGAAAUUGGACGGUACCUUACUAAGAAGCCCCGGCUAACUACGGGCCAGCAGCCGCGGUAAUACGUAGGGUGCAAGCGUUAUCCGGAUUCACUGGGUGGAAAGGGAGGGUAGCCGGCCAUGCAAGCCAGGGGUGAAAGUCCGGGGCCCAACCCCGGGACUGCCCUUGGAACUGGAUGGCUGGAGUGCGGGAGGGGCAGGCGGAAUUCCUGGUGUAGCGGUGAAAUGCGUAGAUAUCAGGAGGAACACCAGCGGCGAAGGCGGCCUGCUGGACAGCGACUGACGUUGAGGCUCGAAAGCGUGGGGAGCGAACAGGAUUAGAUACCCCUGUAGUC
rnacentral:rRNA from 1 species